ensembl:snRNA U6 U6 spliceosomal RNA
GUGCUCACUUGGGGAAGCACAUGUGCUGCAAUAGGAACAACACAGAGAAGACAGCAUGACCUCUGCAUGUGGAUUAACAUGUACAUUGAUGACGUUAUCCAUAUUUUU